AACGCAUAUUGCACCCCUUGGUAUUCUGGGGGGUACACCUGUUCGAGCGCCAUUUCUAACCCUCAAGCAAUGCUUGGUGUUGGGUGGAUGUCAUUUAGUUGACCCCCCCGUAACUUGUAGGCGGUCAUACCCCACUUCUUAAGCGUAGCAAGCAAAAUGCACCCGCUUUAAGAAUGGUGUAUUUGACCCGCCAAAAAAAACCUUCCUAUCAAGGUUUGGCCUCGGAUCAGGUGGGGAUACCCGCUGAACUUAA
rnacentral:misc_RNA from 1 species